rnacentral:misc_RNA from 1 species
GUCGCUAGCGUGUAGACAUUUAUUUCACUUCCUCCCGUCCUCAGAUGUUUAGGUGUUCGUUCUUUUUGUGCACAAAGCUUGCACUGGACCAUGUCCGGUGUUGGCGAGCUUUUGAGCAAAUCAAGGCAGAAAGAGGAGAGGUUGAGAAAGACGAAGGAGUUUCUAGCCAAGCAUCUCCAUGACCGCUUAUUUGUGGACUACUUCAAUGUUUUUCUCAACUUGCCGGUGUUUGGUCAAAGAAUGCUGUUUAAGCUGCACGAUGGAGACUUUAUAUUUGACCCUCCAGUUUUCACAGGAGUGAUUCAUGACAGGAUAGUAGCAUGGAUAGCUGCGCGCAGGUUUCACCUGUUUACAAAGACACACCUCUUUCUGGAAUAUCAGCUGUGCCAUAAACUGAAAAACCUCGACUUUGAGCUGCGGUUCAGGGAUUCCGAUUGCGACAGGCGGACCCAUCAUGUACUGCAGGUGUUCGCAAACAACCUGCUGGGUAGCGUGGCUGGAAUGUACCUGUUCCGUGAGCACCUCCGGAACUCCUCCGGCUCGAAAGUUUUUGGGUGCUGGCUACAUGUGCAACGAUUCCGACAGACGCGCAACUUGACCAAACGACGCGAGAUAUUCCACGAGAUCCAGCAGUGCUAUCUCCUAGCUACGGCGUUUCACAAGCUGUCCAACAGGCUGUGCAGAGUAGUGGCCGUGGAGCUCCUGUCUUUUCCUGUGGUGCCGCAUUCUGAAACGGAGCUGUCAGCGCGACUUACGACUGAUCACUAUGUGCCCUCAUGCGAAGUCGACCUCUCGUCACCUAAGGCCUUGGGACUGGUGCAUCGAGUGCUUCUGGAAGCCUUGCGCGCUUACUGGGCUCCUUGUUACGUCAUGCAUGUGCUCUCCACCCAGCCCUUUUCAAUAUUAAAGGAACUGUUUAGGGUUCCAAAAGGGACAGAUCUGAAGAUGCUGAUUAGAAGAUGUACCCUUUUCAAAGUCUCGGGUGACCUAGGUUCAUCUCCAAAAGAUAAUGCCCUUUCCGGUAAAGACGACUUGAACAUGCCAUCUUCUUCAUCGAUGUUGUUGACAUUAUCUUCCUCUUCCACGCAUAUCACCCAUAGUACCCAGGAAACCACGUUGACGUACCUACCAUAUCUGCAAUCUUCAACCGAACCAUCGAGAAUUUUGGCGCUAGCAACCAGACAUCAACUGCAUCUUGAAAAUACAGGUUUCAUUGUGCCAGAACUUCCAAGUAGAGAAAAAACGCAAGGACGAGACACUCUGUUUCAGGACGACACCAAUGAUGGGGAACUAACAGAGAUGUGUGUUGAAGAAAGGCUGCUGGACACAGAAUGUUAUUGCGACAAUUCUGAACGAGAAAGUAGACGACACGAAGAGAAACAGGAGGCCAAGGUGUCAGACGAGAUGGAAGAUGAAGACGACAGUAAGGUCAGGUUGAACCUGACGAGACUGGCCCUGAAAGAGAUGGCCAUCAAGCCCGAACCCAUGCUUUACCUCAACCAGCUGCUGCGGCAUUACCUCUUCGGCUAUCGACACCUGAACCAAGAGGAGCCAGUGACUGACAGGCGAACCCUGUGCCUGCUGGCUUGCGACGACUUGGCCGGCAGUCCGUUCCGUUCUUACCUGCGUGGUCAGGCCCAGCAGCUGUAUUUGAGCUACUUUGACUUCUGGUCAGCUAUGCGCCGGUAUCAGCAGUUGCAUGACCUUAACCAAAUGGAGGAAAUUAUGCAUUCCAAGAGCUGCUCCAUGAUCGCCGACGCGCAUAGACAACAUAUCCAUUAUAUGGUAAACAGAUUUCUGAUAGACAGUGGUGUUGAUGCCAACAUCUUAGGCUGUAAGAUUCGGCUGAGUCUUCUGGAGGACAUCAGAAAAGCCAGAUGGUCACCACUCAUCAACUCAACAUUGGACGUCGUGUCCAAUGUACUCAGUAUCCCCAUGACGCAGUUCAUCCUUUACGACAGACAAGAUUUUCGAAAGCACGCGAUGGAUUCAAGCAACCCUUUGCCUAACUUAGAACAGGAUUCACAAGCUGAGAACAUAAUGGCAUCGGACCUUCCAAUGCAGAUACCUUCAGCUUCAUUGCGAACAUUUGCUGAUCGUCGCUGUCUCUCCGAUCCCUGGAGAGAGGAUCCCAAACACGAUCCAGAUGGAGACAUGGAAUGUCUGCGACCCACGGAUCCUCGUGGCACCAAGUAUAACGGCGUUGUGGGUGUCCUGGGCGAACAGCAUCGCUUGCUGGCCUUUCAGUUUCUUAUCGUCCUGCGAGAAGAUCUGCCAGACGCACAGGUCUGUGAUGUGGCUUCUUUGGCAAGAAUUGUGGGGUCUGACUAUGGUAGCCUGCACAUUCCUUUCUCGGCUCCUGUCACUCACAGAUUUUUGGCCAGUCUUCGACCAAAACAGCGAAUGUCCAGGGCGACGUUACUAAAACCAUCGCCUUUGAUGGAAGAUUUCCUUUCCCCUGUAAUCAAUAGGUUGGGGCCUAUGCAUACUUUAACAAUGAACGAUCUCUUGGAAUAUAGAAGAAAAAGAAGUGAACUGGUGCUUAAACUUCCAAGAACCCCAAGAAAAUUUUUGGACAUCUUAGCACACGAGACGCAGUUCAACGUUUUCAAGAAGUAUUUAGAGCUGAAGGGUCAGUUGAAAGCAGUCUCUUUUGUCGAGGAUGUGCAGGACGCCUUGCGGCUCCUGGAUCAAGCAGAGCAGGAGUCAAUGGUCGCCGGCAUCAUAGAACAGUAUUUCGGGGAUGGUGAGAGGAUUUUGAACAUUCAAGAAAACCAGUCUAUAGCAGUUAUCAUUGUUGAAAGUCCAAACCUGGAAAACCUAUGUUCAGCUCAGUUAGCCUUGGAAAAACAGAUCGAAGAAAUAUGGUUUAACAAAUACGUUGAAGAGCUAGAACGACAUAAAGUAGACCUACCAACUCCCAAUGAGGAAACCUACAAAGAAGACUGGCUAGAAAACUUUCUUUUAGAACAAGAGGAAAAAACAAGAAUAGAGGCAGAAGAGAAUAAAAAGAGAUUACAGAAAAUAAAGAAACAGGAAGAAAAAUUAGAGAAAUUAGAGAAACAGAAAGAAAAGAGAAAAGGCAAGACAGAAAAAAGAGAAAAACACACAGAAAAGGGAAAAGUCAAGAAAGACAAAAGGGAAAAGCACGCAGAAAAGAUGGACGUAGAAGAAGCUAAAAAAAAUCAAGAGACCAUUAAAGACUUGGAGAGCACAGAUGAAAGCUCAGAUAGCUCAUAUAGCUCAGAUAGAGGAGAGGUAGAGAAGGGCGAAUGGAAGGAAGAAAAGGAACAUUUCAAAGAGAGAAAGAAAAAACCACAAGCUAAGAAGGGAAAAGAAAAGAAUCUCCAGGACAAGGAAGACGACAGAGCUAAACGCAAAAGGGACAGAAAGAACGAUAAACAAGAGAAACAGGUAGAUAAGGACAAAAGAGUCAGAGAGAGAAAAGAACACGAAUUUAAAGACCCGAAAGACGAGAAUGAAGAGAAAACAUCGGUCACUGAUACAGAAAGUGAAGAGGAACAGGACUACGAAGCCACAUCUUUCAGACAGGAGAUGUUAGACAGGGAAAAGCAAACCUUCGAAGAUUUUGAACAAAAGAAAAUACAGAAGAAGGAGAGGAGGGAACACGAUGAAAAAACAUCAUCGGGGGCAGCUAAACGCAAAAGGGACAGAAAGAACGAUAAACAAGAGAAACAGGUAGAUAAGGACAAAAGAGUCAGAGAGAGAAAAGAACACGAAUUUAAAGACCCGAAAGACGAGAAUGAAGAGAAAACAUCGGUCACUGAUACAGAAAGUGAAGAGGAACAGGACUACGAAGCCACAUCUUUCAGACAGGAGAUGUUAGACAGGGAAAAGCAAACCUUCGAAGAUUUUGAACAAAAGAAAAUACAGAAGAAGGAGAGGAGGGAACACGAUGAAAAAACAUCAUCGGGGGCAGCUUCUCUUAACCAAAUGACCUCAAAAAGACAGGCUAAAAUAUCGAAAGAAGAAGAUAGAAAAGUCAAAGACGAAUAUAAGAGUGGGGAAGAAGAUGAAGGAACAUCAUCCGGAACAGAUUCUCUGAACGAAAUGACCUCGAAAAGACUUACUGAAAUAUCGAAAGGAGAUAAAAAAAAGAAAAAAGAAAUCAUGGAGGAGAAAAAGAGAGAGUUGAAAAAGAAAAAAAAUAUACAGGAAAAAGUGGAUCGAUUGAAAGAGAACGAAAAGGAAGACAAGAAAUCAGACAUAUUAUUAAGUGAGACACCCACAGAUGCACAAGCUGCCAUAAAAGAAAAAAUACCUAAAGAAAAAAAAGAAAUACCAGAGGAAAUAGCAUACCAAGCAGAAGAAAGUAUCAAAAGCGAUAUUUUCGAAGAUAGUUCACUAACGCCAGAAUAUUUCGAACAUAUGGAACAAUCUGUUGAUUCAGCAGAAUCAUCAAUAUCAGUGUAUGAUAGGUCACAGGGUUUAAAAAGAAAGGCAAAGCCGAUUGAUUUAUGGCGACACGUGGUAAGAGAAAUGGUGAAGUUCACGAGUUCUCUGAUUAUACCACUUGAAAGAAAAUUAUUUGAAAUGUACCUCAAGCAAGAGCUCCAGAAUGCGAAGAAUCAUCUCACAUCAGACAAGGAAAUGAGAACGACUGACUCAGAAGGAAUCAAACACGCAGUGUAUACACGCAAGAUUUUGAAUGAUCUCAUCCAAGUCAACAAGCUGCCUGCGGACCUCCGCUUUUUUGUGGAAGCAGACAGGCAAGGGAGAUAGGUUGUCUAUCUCUAAGUAGGUCUAAAGCGAUUUGUUAGUUCUCCGUUUCCCCGAUGUAGGUCCUGAAGCUACUGGGAUAUCCAACAGAUUCAAGAAACAAAUAACAUCUCACUUAAAGUGUUCUACGGAAAUCGGGGUACCAAUCGAAAAGGAAAACCCAAUCCUGGGCAUGCGCGCCAAAGCCAUCAUUGAGUGCUUUUUCCAGUCCGUGUGUGAAC